AUGGAGGUCUUCUGCCCAGCCCUGGGCCCCUUGGUCACCUAGCUGUAUGACGUGCAGGCUUUCAAGUUCGGGAGCUUUGUACUGAAAAGCCGGCUCUCCUCCCCAGUCUACAUCGACCUGCAGGGCAUCAUGUCUUCUCAGUCAGGUCGCAGACAUUUUAUUCCAAACUGCCAAAAAUGUCGGGAUCAGUUUUGACAGUGUGUGUGGAGUUCCUUAUACAGCGUUACCAGUAGCAACAGUUAUCUGCUCAGCCAAUCACAUUCCCAUGUUCAUUAGGAAGAAGGAAACAAAGGAUUAUGGUACCAAGCGCCUUGUAGAAGGAGAGAGUAAUCCUGGGAAGACCUGUCUCGUCAUUGAGGAUGUCUUCACCAGUGGGGCCAGUGUUUUGGAGACUGUUGAAGUUCUUCAGAAGGAGGGUCUAAAGGUGACUGAUGCCAUAGUGCUGCUGGACAGAGAGCAGGGAGGCCAGGACAAGCUGCAGGCCCAGGGGAUCCGUCUCCAUGCAGUGUGCACCUUGUCCCAAAUGCUGGAGAUUCUGGAGCAGCAGAAAAAAAUUGACGCUGAGAUGGUCGGGAAAGUGAAGAGGUUCAUUCAAGAGAAUGUUUUUUCAUCAGCUAAUCAUAAUGGUUUUCCACCUCCUGAGAAGAAAGCAUGCAAAGAACUCAGCUUUGGUGCUCGAGCAGAGCUGCCUGGAAUCCACCCACUUGCCUCAAAGCUCCUCAGGCUUAUGCAGAAGAAGGAGACCAAUCUGUGUCUGUCCGCUGAUGUGUCGGAGGCCAGAGAGCUGCUGCAGCUAGCAGAUGCCUUGGGACCCAGCAUCUGCAUGCUCAAAACUCAUGUCGAUAUUCUGAAUGAUUUUACUCUGGAUGUGAUGGAGGAGUUGACCGUUCUGGCAAAACACCACGAGUUCUUAAUAUUUGAAGACAGGAAAUUUGCUGAUAUAGGAAACACAGUUAAAAAGCAGUAUGAAAGUGGCAUCUUUAAAAUAGCUUCCUGGGCAGAUGUAGUAAAUGCCCACGUGGUACCAGGCUCAGGAGUUGUGAAAGGCUUACAGGAAGUGGGCCUGCCUUUACAUCAAGGGUGCUUGCUCAUUAAAGAAAUUAGCUCUCCUGGCUCCUUGGCCACGGGAAACUACACCAAGGCAGCAGUUGGGAUGGCUGAGGAACACUGUGAAUUUGUCAUUGGCUUUAUUUCUGGCUCCCGAAUAAGCAUGAAACCAGAGUUUCUUCACUUGACCCCAGGAGUUCAAUUAGAAACAGGAGGGGAUCACCUUGGCCAGCAGUACAAUAGUCCACAAAAAGUGAUUGGUAAACGCGGUUCUGAUGUCAUCAUUGUAGGCAGGGGAAUACUUGCAGCAGCUAACCAUCUGGAAGCAGCUGAGAUGUACAGAAAAGCUGCCUGGGAAGCGUAUUUGAGUAGACUUGCUGUUCAGUAA